rnacentral:rRNA from 1 species
GAUCAUGGCUCGGAUUGAACGCUGGCGGCAGGCCUAACACAUGCAAGUCGAACGGUAACAGGAAGCAGCUUGCUGCUUCGCUGACGAGUGGCGGACGGGUGAGUAAUGUCUGGGAAACUGCCUGAUGGAGGGGGAUAACUACUGGAAACGGUAGCUAAUACCGCAUAACGUCGCAAGACCAAAGAGGGGGGACCUUCGGGCCUCUUGCCAUCGGAUGUGCCCAGAUGGGAUUAGCUAG